ACAGUUUAAAAUGUUGGAUCUAAUAAUUUUCCUUCUUUUGCUGCAGUACAUUGAUUGUGCUAAUAUAACAGUACAGCCAGUGUCUAUUAAUACAACACUCAACUCUACUGUUGUCUUCUCUUGUGAAGGAA